CCAAAGAGUUGGAACUAAAAUAUGUGAUAAAAAUAAUAUAUUUAAUUUGAGAUAAAUAUAUGCAUGUAAGUCAUCCAACAAGUCUUGGAAAAAAUAAAGAAUUAAACUUAGGGUGUGAAAGUGCCACAUCAUACUCCUUAAAAAAAAAAAAAAACACUCCUGAUCAGCAAACAUAUAGUGCCGUCCAAGACCCAUUUCAAAGAAUUAACCAAACUUUGCAUUACCAAAUCAGUGUAGCCUAAGAUACGGGUCUACAGAUUUCGGUUCAGUCUUUUCUCAAAACCAGUCCCAUUUUGGUUAAAAUUGGUUGAGUCCACCCCCUAAUACAUUGUGCUACUAAAAAACAUGGAGAAUUUCAGAUAUGGAGCAACAUCUAUGGAAGGAAAAAUAAAUUGGCGUUUGAAGCAGUGUUCAGGAAAGCGUGAAGCGGAAAAAAGCAACAAGGUCCCGCUUCACGCUUUAAGCAAAGCGUGAAGCGAAGCGCCCGCUUCAUUGAGGUGAAGCGCAAUUUUUUUUUUAAAAAAAGAGCAAAAUAAAUAGAGAAUAUAUAUAUAAGCAAAAGUUCAAAUUCAAAACUAAAGUAGAUAUCCAUAGACUAAAAGUUCAAAUAAAAAACUAAAGUGGAUAUCACAAAUGGUUCGACAUCUAGUUCUUAUUCUUCUACAAGAUUGUCAAAAUCUUGUACUCCCACAUCAUCUUCUUCAAUUUCAUUUUCAUCUUCUUCAACUUCAUCAACUAGGGAAUGACUUGUAGCUACUUCUUUUCCCCUUCUAUGUUGGCUUGAAGUAUUCCCCCUUAAACCAUAAUGGUUCUUCUCUACCCCCAUUGCCUCGGCAACAACACCGAAAGUGAAAUCAGAAUCUCCCUCAAAAAUUGCUUCAUCUUCAACAUUCUCAACCCCGGUGAGCCAUUCAUUGGCAUCAUCAAUAUUGUCCAAACCAAUUGGAUCAAUUACAUUGCGAGCAUUGUAACGACGCAUCAAUGUUCUAUUAUAUUUUAUGAACACUAGGUCAUUGAGGCGCUUUAGGGUUAGUCUAUUCCUCUUCUUCCCUCACAUUCUCCGGACAUCUUAGACAGCGUGCAACAUCGCUAUAAGUACCAAUAAGAUGUUGUUUGUGGCGAAAGAUUCCUCCUCUAGUCAUCUUAUCACAAAACAAACACAUAACUGCAGUCCGAUUGGUCUCACUAAGUUUUUUCCCAUACUUCCAAGCCGGGUCUUCGGACAUUUUUUAAUUGCUGUUAAGAUUUAAGAAAAAUAAUCAGGAGCAAAUAUUUUUUUGAUACAAAAUCAGCAGAGAACACAGCAAAACAAAGCAGAAAAAGUACUGGAAAUGAAAGAAAAAAGUAGAACUGGAAAAGAAAGAAAAAGGCAGAACUGAAAACAGAGCAUAUAUAGCAGCAAACCAGAGCAAAAAAAUAAAUAAGCAAAACAGAGCAGAAUAACAAAGAAGAAGAAAAGCAGAGUAGAACCCUAGAAUUCGAGAAAGAAAAAACAGAACAAAUGUGAAGAAAAAAACAGAGCAAAAAAGAGAGCUUGAAAGAAGAAGAAGAAACAGAAGAAGAAAGAAAGAAAGAAGAAAAGCAGAGCAGAACCCUAGAAUUCGAGAAAAAAACAGAGCAAAUGUGGAGAAAAAAACAGAGCAAAGAAGAGAGCUUGAAAGAAGAAGAAGAAGAAGAAGAAGAAGAAGAAGAAGAAGAAGAAAGAAGAAGAAGAAAGAAAGAAAUUACCUGAAAGUGGAGAAGAAGAGCUGCUGCAAAACCCUAGCUGACUGUGCGAAAUAAAACUUCUCAAAGUCGGGCUGAGGAUUUCAAAUAACUGGACUAAUUAUUUUAUUAAAAUUGACCCAGACUUAUUAUUUUAUUAAGAUUUUGACCUGGACGUAUUAUUUUAUUAAAAUUUUGACCUGGACUUAUUAUUUUAUUAAAGUUGACCUUUCAAAAAACAGCCCACAACAUAAAGCGUACGCUUCAUCUGCUUCACCGCUUCAGCCGCUUCACCGCUUCAUUCUCAGAAGCGUCCAGUUAAUUGGGUAGCCUCAGCUCCACUUACCUGAAGCGACAAAGCUUCGCUUCACCGCUUUAAGCGAAGCAUAGCGGUGAAGCGCCCGCUUUCCUGAACACUGGUUUGAAGAAGACGGGGAAAGAGCGAACACUACUGGAAGAACAUUCAUACAGUGUUCAGGACUCUUUUGAGGCUGUUGCAGGUAAUCUCACAUUCUAAUUCAAGAAAACGAAUUGUUCACCAGGCUGAGAAGUAGUAAGUAACUUAACAAAUGAAAGUUCAAGCGAACUAUAGUUAUUUAGGGAUAGUUGAGACAUUUUUGUGUUCGUCUCUUAUAGGGAAACCAUUUCUAGAAUACACGUCAAACAGAGUAGAAAACAAUCUGUCUCAAGAGCUAAUCCAUAUUAUCUUCUCCUUUUCUUUUUCAAGUUUUAGCAUUUUCGAUAACUUCCUUCAAGCCAUGUGGCAUGUGUUGAAGAGGCUUCUUCAAGCCGUAUGAGUUUCUUCACCAAUAGUUUAAAUUAUGUUUGUGAAAUCACUAGAUUACACAUUUUGGAUCUGUGGUAUCUUUUUGCUCAGAUUUUAUCAUUUGGUAGUUUGUAUUGGUGCGAUUUGGGCGUGUUGGGGUGUAUUUGUAUAUCUAUUUGUGCUUUUAACUGCAUGAUUGUGAUUGUAUCAUGAAAUUGAGUUUCAAAUUUCAUUUUCUUAGCUUUUUCAUUAGGUUGCAUUUCUUAAGUUUGGUUCUGAAGUAAUACUUCUUUUUCUCGGAGUAAAGGUUUUUUGUGAAAUAUGCGAGUUUUACAAUUAUAGAGCGAAGUUGAGGAGAGAAGUAAUUUGCUUAUUGAGAAAGAUGAUUAUGGAUUUACUCUUGUGAAUUUUAAUCAUCUACUCUACACAAGGCAUCAGUUAUCAGAUGAACCUUUCAUUUUUGCAUCUCAAGCUCAACAAGUGUUCUAUGUCGAUCAUCGAAUGGAAAAGGAGUGGCAAAUUAUUGUUAAACUUAAGCCAAGAGGUUUUUACGAUUUGGGUGAAGACACACCGGCUAUCGAGCAUAAGGAAGGUCAUAUGGAACUAUGGCCUGAGCAACAGCUUGAUGAUUCUACAUUUGAAAGUGAAGAUGAUAUUGAAUGGGUUAGGGAAGGAAUACCAGGAAUAGAAGUUGGAUCUAAAUGGAAAGAGUGGAAGCAUGAAGCAAAAAAUAGUGGCUAUGACCCGUAUAGUACUGAUAUUGAGCGCUUAGCUCAUCGUCCAAAGAGGUUGAAGAAGAUCAGUGGCGUUCGUUAGUUCAUUAUUGGAGCUCAACAGAAGCAAAGGAAAAGAGCGAGAGAAACAAAGAAAGCAAAAAAAGUUGACUAUGCCACACACAUCAGGAAGAAAAAGCCUUUCUCAAAUUAUAGAUGAUAUGACAACAGAGAAUAAUGGUGUAAAGCCAACUCGUAUUGAGGUGCUGAAAAAAACCCGCACAAGUGAGAAUAAACAACUAGUAAAUGAGAUAGCUGGUGAAGUUAUGAAACAAAUGGAUGAUCUUGUUGAGGGGUAUCCUGAGUUAAAUGUCCCUGGAAGUGCUCGCAAUAUAUAUAUAUUCACAAGUAAUGGGACCAGACACUCAUGGGAUUGUUCGAACUCUAGGAAAAGGAGUAGCUCCAAGUUUAGUUUGUGGCUCAGUAUAUAAACGAUCGCAGGUGGAACAACGGGAUUUUGAUGCAAGGGUUGAGAUAGAAGUUCAAAAAUACUGUAGCACUCCAAAUUGAUAUGGAGAAAAAAUUGGCUAAAGCAAAACAAGCUAUGGAAGCAAAAAUGGAAGAAAAAAUGGAUGAAAAGGUGGAUGAAAAGGUGAAGGAAAAGGUGAAGGAAAGAGUGAAGGCAGAGAUCCAAGCAUAUGUACGGAGUACGGGUUUUACGAAUGGCUCAAAAAGUAAAUCAAUCAGUAACGAAGAGCUUUCCGAUAACUCAUGUGAAGACCGUCAACAAUCAUUAUCACCGGUUUCAGUUGUUCGAACAAAAAAGGCGAGUUCGUUCACUUAAUCAACAGCACCUGAAAUAAUGGAGUUGACACGCAAAAAAAGAAGUGGCACUUCUGAAGAGUGUAAUUGGUUGAUGGGUCUAUUAUUAGAUGGUAAACUUUUUGAUUUGAGAGAGAAUAUUUCUUCUCAGGUUGACUUAAUCAACAACACCUGAAAUAAUGGAGUUGACACGCAAAAAAAGAAGUGGCACUUUUGAAGAGUGUAAUUGGCAAGUGGUGCUCGAAUUGUGGAAAGAUGAAUUCCAUUAGCCUUGUUGCAGAAUUUAUUCUAGAAGUUUAGCGAAUUAAUUCAGAUGAUGAGGAGAGAGUUUGACGUAGUUUCAUGUUGAAAUUACUUUAGCUUUUAUUAGUUAGAAUUUGUUUUAUUUGAGAUAGAACGACCAGUCAUUUGAUUUGAUAGCGUAUAACUUGGAAGGAGACUUCUGCUAUGUCCUUUGAAAUACAAUCUAAAGAUUAUUAUUUCGUAUUUGUUA